rnacentral:rRNA from 1 species
AGUUCGGAUCGGAGUCUGCAACCCGACUCCACGAAGUUGGAUUCGCUAGUAAUCGCGCAUCAGCCAUGGCGCGGUGAAUACGUUCCCGGGCCUUGUACACACCGCCCGUCACACCAUGAGAGCCGGGAACACCCGAAGUCCGUAGUCUAACCAUUAAGGAGGACGCGGCCGAAGGUGGGUUUGGUAAUUGGGGUGAAGUCGUAACAAGGUAAC